GUCUAUGGCCAUACCACCCUGAACAUGCCCGAGCUCAUGUGAUCUCGGAAGCUAAGCAGGGUCGGGCCUGGCUAGUACUUGGAUGGGAGAUAUAUAUGAUAAGUGGUAGACCACUCACCAGGGUGCUUCAGAAU
rnacentral:rRNA from 1 species